AUCUAGGUCCCGCCUGUUUACCAAAAACAUCGCCUCUUGCUUCUCCAGUAUAAGAGGUCCCGCCUGCCCAGUGACUAUAUGUUAAACGGCCGCGGUAUUCUGACCGUGCGAAGGUAGCGUAAUCAUUUGUCUUUUAAAUGAGGACUUGUAUGAAUGGCAUCACGAAGACCUUACUGUCUCCUAUAUCCAAUCAGUGAAACUGAUCUCCCCGUGAAGAAGCGAGGAUUUCACCAUAAGACGAGAAGACCCCAUGGAGCUUUAAACUUAAACCACCUGCUUAACCCUUUACUCCUAUGGGAUAAUCAAUUAAUCAAGCAGUACUGGCUUAUGUUUUCGGUUGGGGCGACCACGGAGAAUAAUAAAUCCUCCAUGAUGAAAGAACACCUCUUAACCAAGAGCCACAGCUCUAAGUAUUAGAAUUUCUAACCUUAAUUGAUCCAAUCUUAUUGAUCAACGAACCAAGUUACCCUGGGGAUAACAGCGCAAUCCAUUUCAAGAGUCCAUAUCGACAAAUGGGUUUACGACCUCGAUGUUGGAUCAGGGCAUCCUAGUGGUGCAGCCGCUACUAAUGGUUCGUUUGUUCAACGAUUAAAGCCCUACGUGA
rnacentral:rRNA from 1 species